rnacentral:rRNA from 1 species
CGGGGGAUAUUGCACAAUGGGCGAAAGCCUGAUGCAGCGACGCCGCGUGGGGGAUGAAGGCUUUCGGGUUGUAAACCUCUUUCGCUAUCGAACAAGGCCCGCUUAGGGUGGGUUGAGGGUAGGUGGAGAAGAAGCGCCGGCUAACUACGUGCCAGCAGCCGCGGUAAUACGUAGGGCGCGAGCGUUGUCCGGAAUUAUUGGGCGUAAAGGGCCUGUAGGCGGCUUGUUGCGCCUGCUGUGAAAACGCGGGGCUUAACUUCGCGCGUGCAGUGGGUACGGGCAGGCUUGAGUGUGGUAGGGGUGACUGGAAUUCCAGGUGUAGCGGUGGAAUGCGCAGAUAUCUGGAGGAACACCGAUGGCGAAGGCAGGUCACUGGGCCAUUACUGACGCUGAGGAGCGAAAGCAUGGGUAGCGAACAGG